rnacentral:rRNA from 1 species
UACGGGGGGAGCAAGCGUUGUUCGGAUUUACUGGGCGUAAAGGGCGCGUAGGCGGCGCAACAAGUCACUUGUGAAAUCUCCGGGCUUAACCCGGAGCGGUCAAGUGAUACUGUCGUGCUAGAGUGCGGAAGGGCUACUGGAAUUCUCGGUGUAGCGGUGAAAUGCGUAGAUAUCGAGAGGGAACACCUGCGGCGAAGGCGGGUAGCUGGGCCGACACUGACGCUGAUGCGCGAAAGCCAGGGAGCGAACGGG